AUACCUUUCUCGGCCUUUUGGCUAAGAUCAAGUGUAGUAUCUGUUCUUAUCAGUUUAAUAUCUGAUAUGUGGGUUAUAUGCCCACUUCGAUAUUAAAUUUAUUUUUUGUGGGGGAAGGUCCACCACAGUAGCUUGCUACUGGGGCCUUCGAGCGUCGCUUGGGCUAUGCACUACUGCCCUAGCCUGGCGCACCCCAA
rnacentral:snRNA from 2 species